rnacentral:rRNA from 1 species
GAUGAACGCUGGCGGCGUGCCUAAUACAUGCAAGUCGAGCGAAUGGAUUAAGAGCUUGCUCUUAUGAAGUUAGCGGCGGACGGGUGAGUAACACGUGGGUAACCUGCCCAUAAGACUGGGAUAACUCCGGGAAACCGGGGCUAAUACCGGAUAACAUUUUGAACCGCAUGGUUCGAAAUUGAAAGGCGGCUACGGCUGUCACUUAUGGAUGGACCCGGGUCGCAUUAGCUAGUUGGUGAGGCAACGGCUCACCAAGGCAACGAUGCGUAGCCGACCUGAGAGGGUGAUCGGCCACACUGGGACUGAGACACGGCCCAGACUCCUACGUGAGGCAGCAGUAGGGAAUCAUCCGCAAUGGACGAAAGUCUGACGGAGCAACGCCGCGUGAGUGAUGAAGGCUUUCGGGUCGUAAAACUCUGUUGUUAGGGAAGAACAAGUGCUAGUUGAAUAAGCUGGCACCUUGACGGUACCUAACCAGAAAGCCACGGCUAACUACGUGCCAGCAGCCGCCGUAA